CGCAACCCCUAUCUCUAGUUGCCAGCGAUUCGGUCGGGGACUCUAGAGAUACUGCCCCGGUUAACGGGAGGAAGGUGGGGAUGGCGUCAAGUCCUCAUGGCCCUUAUGCCCAGGGCUACACACGUGCUACAAUGGGCGGUACAAAGGGUAGCGAUGCCGCGAGGUGAAGCCAAUCCCAAAAAGCCGUCCACAGUUCGGAUUGGAGUCUGCAACUCGACUCCAUGAAGCCGGAAUCGCUAGUAAUCGUGGAUCAGCAUGCCACGGUGAAUACGUUCCCGGGCCUU
rnacentral:rRNA from 1 species